rnacentral:rRNA from 1 species
GAGUUUGAUCAUGGCUCAGGACGAACGCUGGCGGCGUGCCUAAUACAUGCAAGUCGAACGCACCGAAGCUUGCUUUGGUGAGUGGCGGACGGGUGAGUAACACGUGGGUAACCUGCCUAUCAGAGGGGGAUAACACUUGGAAACAGGUGCUAAUACCGCAUAGAUUUUUUUCGCAUGAACGAAAAGGAAAGACGUUCGUGUCACUGAUAGAUGGACCCGCGGUGCAUUAGCUAGAUGGUGAGGUAACGGCUCACCAUGGCGAUGAUGCAUAGCCGACCUGAGAGGGUGAUCGGCCACACUGGGACUGAGACACGGCCCAGACUCCUACGGGAGGCAGCAGUAGGGAAUCUUCGGCAAUGGACGAAAGUCUGACCGAGCAACGCCGCGUGAGUGAAGAAGGUUUUCGGAUCGUAAAACUCUGUUGUUAGAGAAGAACGAGUGGGAGGUAAUUCCCGCUGUGACGGUAUCUAACCAGAAAGCCACGGCUAACUACGUGCCAGCAGCCGCGGUAAUACGUAUGUGGCAAGCGUUGUCCGGAUUUAUUGGGCGUAAAGCGAGCGCAGCGGUUUCUUAAGUCUGAUGUGAAAGCCCCCGGCUUAACCGGGGAGGGUCAUUGGAAACUGGGGGACUUGAGUGC